AAUCAAUUUGAUCAAAUUAUUUAUCCGACUGCGCGUUUAAGAUUGACAAAGUUUGCGUUAUACAAAAACCAAAGCUUGGACGAUAGCAUAUCAGGAAUUUAUUCAUAACUAAUUAUUUCUUAUUACACAUGGUAUCCUGUAAUUGGUGAAACAAAUGAUCGAUAGGUAAUACUACAUGGAAAACGAAAAAUUACAUUCCAAAUGCGAGGCUGGUUUAGAAGAAAAAAUAAGUCAGAAAAUAUAUUGAGAUAAAUGAAGCAUCGAAGGAAAAUCACGUAAUAAUAAAAGGAUUGAAUUUUCUUUACCCACCUAA
rnacentral:lncRNA from 1 species